AAAAAAAAACAUUAAUUAAGGUAUUUUGGUGAAAUGAGCGACAAGACUGUUCUGUUCUCAUUCAGAAAACUGACCUCAAAUUAAUUUUCAAGUGAUAGUUAAAAUGAAAAGAUUACAAUACUAAAAACAUUCUGGAUUAUAAUACACAUAGCUUAUUUUAAAAGGUUUCUUUGUCCUUCAUCUCGUUAUUUUCCUUCUUUUUGGCAGGAAAUUGGGUUAUUUUUCUUAAAUGGCAUCACUGACUUGUUUCCACCGGUUUCUUUCUCUGAAUGAAUAGUCCUGUCCAUCACAGCUCUCCCACAUGAGGGCAGGCAGCUGGCCCUUGUGCUGAAGCCCUGAGGGGGCAGGACAAUGUCCUCAAGCUAAUGGACAUGCUGUCUCUCCAGGUGGUCCUCAGCCCAGGUCAUAGCACUUGCGAAAUUAAUAGUUCCUCUGCAGCUCUAUGGUGCUUUUUGUCACUUAGAACAAUGAUAACUGGUGGUUAUAGUGGAUGAGCGAGUCAUCUUUCAACUUGGAGGUCAAGGGUUUGAUUCCCAGUUCCUCUAACCUACAUGCCAAUGUGUCCCUGCAUGGGCAAGACACUUCACGUCAAGUUGCUCCUGGUGGGGCUUGACUGUGUGUAAAUAGGUGAAUGCAACCUGUCCUCCAACUGAACCGUAACUCUGGGUCGUUUUGGGCGCUGGUUUUGAAAACGUAGACAUAGGUCGUAAUUCCUGUGUAUGUUUCAUUGGACAGUCUCGGUGAAUGGCAACAAUGUAAUUUAAAGCAGCUUUGUGUGGUCAUCAAGACUAAAGAAGCGCCAUUCAAAUACAGACCUUUAAAUAAUAAUGAUAAUGAGUUAUAAAACAUAAAUUAAAAACAUAAAUAAAUAGAAACAGUAAUAAAAUAAAAUGAAAGCACUGUUACCGGGCCUUCCUUCUUUAAACGACAGCUCGUAUAGAGCACAGAUCAAGCCAAGCAUCAGGUUCAAGCACUGCAGUUUGCUUGAGAGAGUGUUUCAGUCAUAUCUUGGUACAACCCUGCCCUCUGUGAUCUCACGUUCUCAUCCUAUACAACACAUGAUCGUAAAUAUUAGAUAAACAACAACAGGUUUGACAUUGCAUUGGUGUCACUUAGUCCAAUACAGGAAGUAUAUGUGUUUCUUCAACAAGGCUUAUCCAGGACUGGCCUACAGGCUAAUGCGUGUGGAGGUAGAAAGAAAGAGAGAGAGAGAGAGAGGAAAGAGAGAAGCUGCAGAUAGCUGCACACAAUAGUGCUCUAUAUAAAUGAAAAAUUGCCACUGCCAUUUGUCCUCAGACAUGCAGCUGAGUCAGCAGGGUCUUAAUUGAGACCUUCUUCUUAUCCACAGCCUCAGCACUGAUAUGAGAGUGAGUCUGAUGUCAGGGUCUGUUAGCUGUGAAAGCUUGUGUUUCAGCACUGGCCUCACUGGCCUGUUGUUCUGGCUCUCUGAAGCAAAGGAUAACAACAUCUCUUAGCCUGGAUUUACUGUUGAAAUGGCGUUUCACCAUAUUGGCCUGAGCUCCAGUCACUAGUAAGUUGACAGCAGGUGGUUCAUCCGACCGGCUGAGUGAUAUAUUGUCUACUGAUGCUGUUCAAGGCUCAAUUAAACAAGAAAUCUCCACUCGCCAACAAACAAACCAGAAGAAGUAGCAGAAUAAAUUCACCUUUUCACUGACAGACAGAACGGGUUCACAUUGUUCACAACAGCUAUGACAGCAGAGCAUCACAGGUCACUAAUCACAUGACACAGACCAAGGGUUAAAAAGACACCUGUACUGACUACACUGUCUAUAACGGUCACACCUUGAUGUCAUUGAGGGAAAAAAGACCAAUAGAAAAUGUCCCUAUCUGUCAGAUGUUGCACACAGCGGUGGGUGAUGGGCAAACUUGUAUAGAGGUUUCACUGGUAGUUGUUGGAGAUUAACCCACGUUGUUAGGAUUGUUAAGUAGUUUUAAGUGAUCUACAGUACAGCGCUGUUCGGCUUGAUUUGUGUGUGGGACGUCACACUCUGGCCAGUGAGUGGCCGGCAGUCUGACCAAUCAUCGGAUAGUACCUACUUAAGCACACUUGGAACCUCGCCAGAGCAGGUACUA